AAUUAUUAUUGGUCCAAAUAUGAAAAAAAAAAGAGAUAAAAAAAUUGGUGAUAUGUUAAGAGAAAAGUACUAAUUGUUUGAAUGUAUCAUAGUUAAAAAAUGUGCCACGUAAACAUAACAACAAGAAAUUUAACUGGUUCAAAAGAUUGCAGAUGGGUGACCAAAAAAGUCAACCCAAACGAUUGCCUGGUACAGCCGUUUACUCAAAACGUUAAUGAAGGGAAGCCGAAGUUGCACCUCCUUCAUCGGGCAUCUACUCAAAAUCCACCACCAGAGAGAAGCUGAAGCUGCAUCUCCUCCAACAAGCAUCCUACAAAGUGGCAUUAAGUCACUUGAGAGUUCAUUCCAACCUUCAAAAUUAGAAUGCUGAUCAAAAUGGUGUAGCCAAAUUAAUGCCUUUUCCUAUUAUUAUAAACAUUAACAAACAACAUAUAAGAGCACCCAAUACAAAAUUUCAUAAGUUCUUAUUUAAAAUUUUAUAUCAGAAUUAAUUUCUAAAAAAAAAAAAAACCCAAAUCGAUAUAUCAUUAAAGAGCAUUUGGAGAUGGAAGCAACACUUACAAUGAGAUCGCGGACUCAGUUUUUCCAUCAACGAUCAACGACAUAGAUCAAAGGCAAAAUAGGCAACUAACAAAAAGAAACAAGCAAAUUAGAACAUACUUUACAAAAAAAUGCCGUAGAAUUGGGUGAUAAAAUGUUGUAGAAGUGGGUGAUUAUCGAUGGCCAAGAAUCACAAGAAAUAUUAAUAGUGGCAUCCGACCGACCAGCCAAGUCGCAAGAAAAAGAACACCGGUGGCGACGAUUUUUUAGGCGGAGACGCAGCAGUCUUAUACAUGGAUCGACUACGAUUUGGUUAUUUUGUUUCAAUUUGACAGCACCAAUUUCUUUUAUCCCCUUCACAAUCCCUCGUCAAUUUUCCACUGUAAAAAUUUUUGACACCAUUUGGUCCAGUUGUCCAUUACAUAAGACUUAACCAAUUCAACCACUUUUUCCCCAUGUUACUACUUUCCGAUAAAGUGAACAUUAUCCGUUGGAUUAGAUUUUAGCACAGUUGAAGGGCUGAGAUUCACCAGGAUGUAUGUAAGAGAAAUUAUAACUUAGCAAUUGCCUGAAAAAAAUUAUGGGAG
rnacentral:lncRNA from 1 species